UUUUUUUUUUUUUUUUGAUUCGAUGACCCAAAGUUUGGAAAACGAGAGUGGGGGGGGGGGGAUGGGAAAAGACCUUUGUGUGUAACGGUAAAAUAUUUAAGUUUAAAUUUCCAGGAAAAUGUGCAGACGAAACCAUCAGAGAGUCAGUUGGGAAGAGUGGCUGGGGCAAGUCCUAACUUCAGGUAAUGGCACCAACUGAUGGCUAAAAGGCAAAAGACCCAACCACCCUCAGCUUACACAGUAGAGCCCCACAACACCAGGCAGAAGUUUCUGGAAGUGAAAAAGUCAAAGCUUUGAAUUUCCUUUGAGCAUCCUGCAGUCAGAAAACAGCUCAGGGUCUGUGUGCACUGCCAGUCCAUGCCACAAAGGGGGUGUGUUCAGGGUCUGUGUGCACUGCCAGUCCAUGCUACAAAGGGGGUGUGUUCAGGGUCUGUGUGCACUGCCAGUCCAUGCUAUGAAGGGGGUGUGUUCAGAGUCUGUGUGCACUGCCAGUCCAUGCUAUGAAGGGGGUGUAUUUGUAUUUGUGAGCCAUGUAUCCCAGUCUGAAAUCACUGGCAGAAAGAGGAGAAAGUGUUCGAACUCCUGACUGUUUGCUUUUUGAUAAACCUGAUUU
rnacentral:lncRNA from 1 species